AGAUCACUGCUAUUGGAAUUCGGCUAAGGCAUGCGAGUCGAGAGGGUUCGGCCCUCGGCAGACGGCUCAGUAACACGUGGAUAAUCUGCCCUUAGGUGGGGAAUAAUCUCGAGAAAUUGAGCAUAAUACCCCAUAGUUCUAGAUUGCUGGAAUGCUUUUAGAAUGAAAGCUUCGGCGCCUAAGGAUGAGUCUGCGGCCUAUCAGGUUGUAGUGAGUGUAACGGACUCACUAGCCGACGACGGGUACGGGUCCUGGAAGGGAGUGCCCGGAGAUGGACUCUGAGACACGAGUCCAGGCCCUACGGGGCGCAGCAGCUACGAAAACUUCACUAUGCGGGGAACCGCGAUGAGGGAAUUCCGGGGGGGGUAUACUUUGUAUACGCUGUUUACUUGCCUAAAAAGCAGGUAGAGUAAGAGCUGGGUAAGACUGGUGCCAGCCGCCGCGGUAAUACCAGCAGCUCGAGUGGUGAUCGUUUUUAUUGGGCCUAAAGCGUCCGUAGCCGGUCUAGUAAACCCUUGGGUAAAUCGGGCAGCUUAACUGUCCGACUUCUGAGGAGACUGCUAAACUUGGGACCGGGAGAGGUCAAGGUACUCAUAGGGUANGGGUGAAAUCCUGUAAUCNCUANGAGGACCACCAGUGGCGANNGCGUNCUGACUANAACGGGUCCGACGGUAANGNACNAANCCCUGGGUCACGAACCGNAUUAGAUACCCGGGUANUCCAGGNUGUAAANCGCUGCGGGCUUGGUGUUNNGGGUCCUACGAGGGCGUCCAGUGCCGNANANAANUUGUUAANCCCNCCNCCUGGGGANUACGGUCGCAAGACUGAAACUUAAAGGAAUUGGCGGGGGAGCACAGCAACGGGUGGAGCGUGCGGUUUAAUUGGAUUCAACGCCGGAAAACUCACCGGAGGCGACGGUUAUAUGAAAGUCAGGCUGAUGACCUUACUCGAUUUUCCGAGAGGUGGUGCAUGGCCGCCGUCAGUUCGUACCGUAAGGCGUUCUGUUAAGUCAGACAACGAACGAGACCCUCAUCUUUAAUUGCUACUGGUAAGUUCGCUUAUCAGGCACAUUAGAGAGACCGCUGGCGAUAAGUCAGAGGAAGGCGAGGGCAACGGUAGGUCAGUAUGCCCUGAAUCCUCCGGGCUACACGCGCGCUACAAAGGCCAGGACAAUGGGCUUCAACACCGAAAGGUGAAGGUAAUCUCGAAACCUGGUCAUAGUUCGGAUUGAGGGUUGAAACCCACCCUCAUGAAGCUGGAAUCCGUAGUAAUCGCGGAUCAACAUCCCGCGGUGAAUAUGCCCCUGCUCCUUGCACACACCGCCCGUCAAACCAUGCGAGUUGGGUCUGAGUGAGGAUGUAGUUCUUGCUACGUUCAAACUUAGGCUUAGUAAGCGGGGUU
rnacentral:rRNA from 1 species